rnacentral:misc_RNA from 1 species
GCGGAACUAUCCAGAUAUGCAGACCCUUUUGAUGAACUAUUUAUUGUAUUCAGCAUCUUUAUCACUGGUUUUCUGAUGACUUAUGUACGACUCUAUCCGACGAUGAAGGCCUAUGAAUAUGGAUUGCGGAUUUUCUUGGUGACAUUUUGCUUCGUAAUUGUUUCGGGUUAUAGGACGAAGCAAUUUGUUGAGGCAGCUGUUAGUCGUUUUAUAGCUAUUGCGCUUGGUGCUGCUGUUGGUGUGGGAGUGAAUAUUUGCAUCUGCCCGUUUUGGGCAGGAAAGGAUUUGCACAACUUGGUAGUGAAGAAUUUCACUUACGUAGCCAAGUCUUUGGAAGGGUGUGUUAACG